ensembl:lincRNA Gm44037 predicted gene, 44037
AACAAGUGUUCUUAACAGAUGGGCCAUCGCCCCAGCCCAGAUCUCUGUAGUUAAAUUACAUUUUCAUAUGAAAACAUUGCUGUCAGUCAUCCUGCUUUUCUAUCAAAGAAAACAGAUUCCAUAUAUANNNNNNNNNNNNNNNNNNNNNNNNNNNNNNNNNNNNNNNNNNNNNNNNNNNNNNNNUCUUCUUCCGUUCCUUGGCUCUUCCUAUCCAGGCCUCUUUUGUUUAAAAAAAACAAAACAAAACAAAAAAACAAAACAAAAAACAAAACAAAAAAAAAACCAUUUUGUGUGUGUGUGCGUAUGAGUGUGCUUGACUGCAUGUAUGUCUGUACCAUGUGCAUGCCGGAUCCCUUGGGAAUCCAGAGAAGGGCACUGGAUCCCCUGGACCGGGUACAGAUGGUUGUGAGCCACCUGUGGGUUCUGGAAAUCAAACUCGGGUCCUCUCAAACCGCAGCGAGUGCUCCUAAGCCUGAGCCUCCUCUCCAGUCCCCUUUUAGGCCUCUGUCCAUGCUCAGUUCUGUUUACCAGUUUCUUGUUUUGCUGUGAGCCUACAGUGGUGACCUGCUGAAACAGCCUACCUUAGAGUCAGGAAACAAACUUCAUAGAGGUUUGCUGUCUGAACAAUGAAUUUAAAACUCAGAGCACCAAAGAGCACAGGAAGAGCGUGCCACUUCCUUGCAGUGCCUUACACUUGUCUACUUGGGCUGGAAGGAGCCAGCUGAGUGAUUCCUGAUGGGGGACCUGGAGAUGCUACUGUAAUUCACACUCUGAUCUGAUAGCACCAGGAAAGCAUAGGCUGGGAGGGAGUGUCAGGAAGACCCUGGUUUCCCUGAUCUGAUGUGACUUGUAGAUGUUUGUUUGGCCCAGGUCUGUCCAGCACAUACUUUGAGCUCAUAGGCUGGACAGUGCUGGUAAUAAAGUAAUAAAUAACAGAACUGAGCAAAACAGGCUUUAGACUUACCAGAUACCAAUUACAACCACAGAACACAUACAGCUCCUGUCUGAAAUCUCUCUAUUCAUAUUCUGAUUCUGUACUCAACGUCCUGUAAAAGGGGAGUAUUGGGACCAACAGAACUCGUCUCUACUGUUAGCACAGUGCUGCAUCAGAGCUUACCCUUGCAUACUGCUUGUCUGAGAGGCCCCCUUUUUUAUCCUUGCUACCUCAUUGCUAUAGCUGUAUAUGUGUAGCCCUACCUUUUUUCUGAGCAGAGAAAAUCCACAAUAAAGGUUUUCUUCAGAGUAACACAGGCAGUAAAUAGGAUUUACAGUAAAUAUUGUCCCCCAGGCUUUAAGGAUACCGAAGUUUAACUCUCCCCUUUGUUACUGAAAUAAAAUACCCUUCUGUUCCUACCACACCUGCAUCCAAUCUGGACACCUGACUCCAAGAGAAAAAUGAGCUGUCUCUGAUCUUUAAGUAUCUGAAAGGCCUCCAGGCAGAAGUGAGAUGUGAAAGACUGAACAAAGCAAAACAGAACCAUUCCCAAGGCUGAGAAACAAGAGGGGUGAUUACUGCAUGUCCUUUCCGUGGAGUAAACCGAUUUAUCAAAUGAAGGCUUGACACACUACGCCAGCAGGGAUGUGCACCUUGGGGUAUUAGAAGAAUUCAGCUUGUAGGAAACCAGAGUUAGUACAAAUGAAAUUCAGUCACGGGGAUCCUGGCUUUCCUGUGUAGAAAGCACUUCAGAGCCUCAGCAUUCAGCCUUACAGAGUGUUCACCGGGUUUCCAUUUUUUUAGCCUAGUCAGUUCAGUGCUCCUCUGUCUAUAUAGUGUAAGUCAGUCUGCAUAUUUUCUUUCAAAUGAGUUCCAGCAUCUUACUCUUUGAUAAUUCAAUGGUGGGUUAAAUAAAACUGAAGCUUUAUAUC